rnacentral:rRNA from 1 species
AGAGUUUGAUCCUGGCUCAGAUUGAACGCUAGCGGGAUGCUUUACACAUGCAAGUCGAACGGCAGCGCGAGAGAGCUUGCUCUCUUGGCGGCGAGUGGCGGACGGGUGAGUAAUAUAUCGGAACGUGCCCAGUAGCGGGGGAUAACUACUCGAAAGAGUGGCUAAUACCGCAUACGCCCUACGGGGGAAAGGGGGGGAUCGCAAGACCUCUCACUAUUGGAGCGGCCGAUAUCGGAUUAGCUAGUUGGUGGGGUAAAGGCUCACCAAGGCAACGAUCCGUAGCUGGUUUGAGAGGACGACCAGCCACACUGGGACUGAGACACGGCCCAGACUCCUACGGGAGGCAGCAGUGGGGAAUUUUGGACAAUGGGGGAAACCCUGAUCCAGCCAUCCCGCGUGUAUGAUGAAGGCCUUCGGGUUGUAAAGUACUUUUGGCAGAGAAGAAAAGGUACCUCCUAAUACGAGGUACUGCUGACGGUAUCUGCAGAAUAAGCACCGGCUAACUACGUGCCAGCAGCCGCGGUAAUACGUAGGGUGCAAGCGUUAAUCGGAAUUACUGGGCGUAAAGCGUGUGUAGGCGGUUCGGAAAGAAAGAUGUGAAAUCCCAGGGCUCAACCUUGGAACUGCAUUUUUAACUGCCGAGCUAGAGUAUGUCAGAGGGGGGUAGAAUUCCACGUGUAGCAAUGAAAUGCGUAGAUAUGUGGAGGAAUACCGAUGGCGAAGGCAGCCCCCUGGGAUAAUACUGACGCUCACACCCAAAGCGUGGGGAGCAAACCGGAUUAGAUACCCUGGUAGUCCACGCCCUAAACGAUGUCAAGUAGCUGUUGCGGCCGUUAGGCCUUAGUAGCGCAGCUAACGCGUGAAGUUGACCGCCUGGGGAGUACGGUCGCAAGAUUAAAACUCAAAGGAAUUGACGGGGACCCGCACAAGCGGUGGAUGAUGUGGAUUAAUUCGAUGCAACGCGAAAAACCUUACCUACCCUUGACAUGUCUGGAAAGCCGAAGAGAUUUGGCCGUGCUCGCAAGAGAACCGGAACACAGGUGCUGCAUGGCUGUCGUCAGCUCGUGUCGUGAGAUGUUGGGUUAAGUCCCGCAACGAGCGCAACCCUUGUCAUUAGUUGCUACGCAAGAGCACUCUAAUGAGACUGCCGGUGACAAACCGGAGGAAGGUGGGGAUGACGUCAAGUCCUCAUGGCCCUUAUGGGUAGGGCUUCACACGUCAUACAAUGGUCGGGACAGAGGGUCGCCAACCCGCGAGGGGGAGCCAAUCUCAGAAACCCGAUCGUAGUCCGGAUCGCAGUCUGCAACUCGACUGCGUGAAGUCGGAAUCGCUAGUAAUCGCGGAUCAGAAUGUCGCGGUGAAUACGUUCCCGGGUCUUGUACACACCGCCCGUCA